rnacentral:lncRNA from 1 species
AUUAGAGUGAGCUUUAAUCCAAUAUGACUUGUGUCCUUAUAAGAAGAGGCAAAGAAAUAGAGAUACAUCUAGAGAGGAAACAGCCAUGUGAAGAUGGAAACAGGGAUUGGAGUGAUGCUGCCAUAAGCCAAGGAAAGCCUGGGACUACCAGAAGCUUGAAGAUGCAAGGAAGGAUCCUCCCCUAGAGGCUUUGGAUGGAGCACAGUCCUGUCAAUACCUUGGUUUCGAACUUCCAGCCUCCAAUACUAACAAAGAAGAGGACCAUGGAACCCAGGAAAAGUUUUCUACAAGACAUGUUUCCUAUUCUAAGCUCUGAAGGACUUUGAGUCUAAUUUGAAACUUUCUCAACAUGACUGAUUCUUACAACUUCUAGUCCAUACAACAGCUCCAUCCAAGAAAAAAGAACAAAACAAACCUCAAGUUUAUGACGUAAAAACAGUGUGAGAACACAUUAAGGGAAGCAAAGAACAGAGACUCCUUUCUCCAAUACUGGAAGUCCUGCCUACCGCAUGGUUACAUUAAAAUCGCUCAUUUCCCAAAAUAAGGCAUAUGAAUGGCCAAGAAGAAAAAGAAAAAAAAAAUGCCCAACAUCACUAAUCAGCAGAGAAAUGCAAAUUAUAACCAUGAUGAAAUAUUACCUGUUAGAAUGUCUUUCAUCAAAAAGACCAGAAACAACCAGUGUUGGUGAGGAUGUGGAGAAAAGAGGACCCUUAUAUACGGUUGGUAAGAAUGUCAAUCAGUACAGCCAUUGUGGAAAACAGAAUGGAAUUUCCUCAAAAAGCUAAAUAUACAACUAUCAUGUGAUCCAGCAAUCCCCUUUUUGGGUAUACAGCCAAAUAAAAUGAAAUCAAUAUGAUUGAGAG